rnacentral:rRNA from 1 species
GGAUUGACACAUCGGUCGUGCCCUAAGGGGUAUGAACUGGUGUAGUCAAUUUCUCACCUUCUGGAGAACCGCGAUGCCCUUAAUUGGGUGUCACGGGGAACCAGGACCUUUACUUUGAAAAAAUUAGAGUGUUCAAAGCAGGCAAUCGAGCCUUGAAUACUUCAGCAUGGGAUAAUGGAA